ACAAGAUCAUGGUAUAAAGGUAGAUUUCUUGUGGCAAGGAUCAUCAAUUACACUUUAGAUAUGAUGACCCAUUCAAUUUCUCCAAAUAUGGGGAACUUAUGUGCAUGAUUUAGGAUAGUGGGAGACUGCAUACACACUCUUC
ensembl:snRNA U1 U1 spliceosomal RNA